rnacentral:rRNA from 1 species
UACGUAGGGGGCAAGCGUUGUCCGGAUUCAUUGGGCGUAAAGAGCGUGUAGGCGGCCAGGUAGGUCGGUUGUGAAAACUGGAGGCUCAACCUUCAGAGGUCGACCGAAACCAUCUGGCUAGAGUCCGGGAGAGGAGAGUGGAAUUCCUGGUGUAGCGGUGAAAUGCGCAGAUAUCAGGAAGAACACCCGUGGCGAAGGCGGCUCUAUGGAACGCAACUGACGCUGAGACGCGAAAGCGUGGGGAGCAAACAGG